UACAGAGGUCUCAAGCGUUGUUCGGAUUCAUUUGGGCGUAAAGGGUGCGUAGGUGGCGCCGUAAGUCAGGUGUGAAAUUUCGGAAGCGUUAACUCCGAAACUGCAUUUGAUACUGCGGUGCUUGAGGACUGGAGAGGAGACUGGAAUUCACGGUGUAGCAGUGAAAUGCGUAGAUAUCGUGAGGAAGACCAGUGGCGAAGGCGGGCCUCUGGACAGUUCCUGA
rnacentral:rRNA from 1 species